GAUGAAGAACGUAGCGAAAUGCGAUACGUAAUGUGAAUUGCAGAAUUCAGUGAAUCAUCGAGUCUUUGAACGCACAUUGCGCCCCCUGGUAUUCCGGGGGGCAUGCCUGUCCGAGCGUCAUUGCUGCCCUCAAGCACGGCUUGUGUGUUGGGCCUCCGUCCUCCUCCCGGUGGACGGGCCCGAAAGGCAGCGGCGGCACCGCGUCCGGUCCUCGAGCGUAUGGGGCUUCGUCACCCGCUCUUGUAGGCCCGGCCGGCGCUUGCCGACACAUCAAUCUUUUUUCCAGGUUGACCUCGGAUCAGGUAGGGAUACCCGCUGAACUUAAGCAUAUCAAUAAGCGGAGGA
rnacentral:misc_RNA from 1 species